GGAGUUGUAGCUCAGUGGUAGAGUGCUUGCCUAGCACAUGCAAGGCACUGGGUUCAAUCCUCAGCAACAUUU
rnacentral:tRNA from 1 species